rnacentral:rRNA from 1 species
UACGUAGGGCGCAAGCGUUGUCCGGAAUUAUUGGGCGUAAAGAGCUCGUAGGCGGUUUGUCGCGUCUGCUGUGAAAUCCCGAGGCUCAACCUCGGGACUGCAGUGGGUACGGGCAGACUAGAGUGUGGUAGGGGAGACUGGAAUUCCUGGUGUAGCGGUGGAAUGCGCAGAUAUCAGGAGGAACACCAAUGGCGAAGGCAGGUCUCUGGGCAUUAACUGACGCUGAGGAGCGAAAGCAUGGGGAGCGAACAGG